AGGGAUUUAAAGCUUUGGUGGAUACGGAUUGGCUCGCGUGACAUUAGCUGGAUGGUAGGGUAACGGCCUACCAUGGCUACGAUGUCUAGGGGUUCUGAGAGGAAGAUCCCCCACACUGGAACUGAGACACGGUCCAGACUCCUACGGGAGGCAGCAGUGAGGAAUAUUGGACAAUGGAUGGAAAUCUGAUCCAGCCAUGCCGCGUGCAGGAAGACGGCCCUAUGGGUUGUAAACUGCUUUUAUACGGGAAGAAUAGGCCCAACGAGUUGGGAUUUGCCGGUAAGGUAUGAAUAAGCAUCGGCUAACUCCGUGCCAGCAGCCGCGGUAAUACGGAGGGUGCAAGCGUUAUCCGGAUUCAUUGGGUUUAAAGGGUGCGUAGGCGGCUUUUUAAGUCAGUGGUGAAAUACUGCCGCUUAACGGUAGAAUUGCCAUUGAUACUGUUUUUCUUGAGUAUGGUUGAGGUAGGUGGAAUGUGUUGUGUAGCGGUGAAAUGCAUAGAUAUGACACAGAACGCCGAUUGCGAAGGCAGCUUACUAAGCCAUUACUGACGCUGAGGCACGAAAGCGUGGGGAUCGAACAGGAUUAGAUACCCUGGUAGUCCACGCCGUAAACGAUGAUCACUCGCUGUUUGCGAUAUACAGCAAGCGGCUGAGCGAAAGCAUUAAGUGAUCCACCUGGGGAGUACGAUCGCAAGGUUGAAACUCAAAGGAAUUGACGGGGGCCCGCACAAGCGGAGGAACAUGUGGUUUAAUUCGAUGAUACGCGAGGAACCUUACCUGGGCUUAAAUGUAGAGCGACAGCUUGUGAAAGCAGGCUUUCUUCGGACGAUCUACAAGGUGCUGCAUGGUUGUCGUCAGCUCGUGCCGUGAGGUGUCGGGUUAAGUCCCAUAACGAGCGCAACCCUUAUCGUUAGUUGCCAGCGGGUUAAGCCGGGGACUCUAGCGAGACUGCCACCGUAAGGUGAGAGGAAGGUGGGGAUGACGUCAAAUCAGCACGGCCCUUAUGUCUUGGGCUACACACGUACUACAAUGGCCUGAACAGAGGGACGCUACCUAGUGAUAGGAUGCUAAUCUCAUAAAGCCUCUCUCAGUUCGGAUCGGAGUCUGCAACUCGACUCCGUGAAGCUGGAUUCGCUAGUAAUCGCGCAUCAGCCAUGGCGCGGUGAAUACGUUCCCGG
rnacentral:rRNA from 1 species